rnacentral:rRNA from 1 species
AUUGAACGCUGGCGGCAGGCCUAACACAUGCAAGUCGAGCGGAUGAAGAGAGCUUGCUCUCUGAUUUAGCGGCGGACGGGUGAGUAAUGCCUAGGAAUCUGCCUGAUAGUGGGGGAUAACGUUCCGAAAGGAACGCUAAUACCGCAUACGUCCUACGGGAGAAAGCAGGGGACCUUCGGGCCUUGCGCUAUCAGAUGAGCCUAGGUCGGAUUAGCUAGUUGGUGAGGUAAUGGCUCACCAAGGCUACGAUCCGUAACUGGUCUGAGAGGAUGAUCAGUCACACUGGAACUGAGACACGGUCCAGACUCCUACGGGAGGCAGCAGUGGGGAAUAUUGGACAAUGGGCGAAAGCCUGAUCCAGCCAUGCCGCGUGUGUGAAGAAGGUCUUCGGAUUGUAAAGCACUUUAAGUUGGGAGGAAGGGCAGUAAGUUAAUACCUUGCUGUUUUGACGUUACCGACAGAAUAAGCACCGGCUAACUUCGUGCCAGCAGCCGCAGUAACAC